AAGCAUGUUGCGUCCUUUACGAUUUUUUAUACUCUCGCAACAAAGUUGCUAAGGAGAGUAUUAUAGUUUUGUUCACAAACGAUUGUUUGUAAGUCCUAAAAUUAAAAGAGUCAGAUAUAGGAUUAUAUAUAGGGUUAUAUAUACGAAAGUGAUCAGGGUGACGAAUAGAGUUGAAAUCCGGAUGUCUGUCUGUCCGUCCGUCCGUCCGUGCAAGCUGUAACUUGAAUAAAAAUUGAGUUAUCAUGAUGAAACUUUGUACAUGUAUUUCUUGGCUCCAUAAGAAGGUUAAGUUCGAAGAUGGGCAAAUUGGCGAACUGCCAAUUAAAGUGAAAUUUGGCACAAAGGGUUGCACUAGGGAGGGGCAUAUUUGGACGUAAUUUUUUUGGAAAAGUGGGCGUGGCCCCGCCCCCUACUAAGUUUUUUGUACAUAUCUCGGAAACUACUAUAGCUAUGCCAACCAAACUCUAUAGAGUCGUUUUCUUCAGGUAUUUCCAUAUACAGUUCAAAAAUGGAAGAAAUAGGAUAAUAACCACGCCCACCUCCCAUACAUAGGUUAUGUUGAAAAUCACUAAAAGUGCGUUAACCGACUAACAAAAAAUGUCAGAAGCACUAAAUUGUACGGAAAAAAUGGCGGAAGGAAACUGCGCCUAUGCUUUUUUUUAAUUGAAAAUGGACGUGGCGUCGCCCACUUAUGGACCAAAAACCAUAUCUCAGGAAUUACUUCACCGAUUUCAAUGAAAUUCGUUAUAUAAUAUUUUCUUAACACCCUGAUGACAUGUACGAAAUAACGCUGAUGCCUUCUCUGUAUAAUAUAUACAUUAGGAACCAAUGAUGAUAGCGGAAUAAAACUUUACACAAAUACGGUAUUUGAGAAAUAUGUAAAUGACUGAUAAUGAAAUCUCGAUUAUCACUUUAUCAUGCGAGAGUAUAAAAUGUUCGGUGACACCCGAACUUAGCCCUUCCUUACUUGUUAAAUGAUAACAACGACACGCUAAACGCUAAAUGGGUACACGCUUUGGAAGAGUUGGAGACUAGACGCCAGAAUCCGUGUGAUAUUUCGUAUGCAUCUGACGACCCAAUUAAUGGAGAAAUGAUUCGGACAGCACUUUGUACAUAUUUUGAAUCACUCGGCUCGGGAGACGGUACUGGUAGCGAAGAAGUAUCGGUUGGCGACAUCGACAUCGCUGAGGGCGAUGGUAGGCAAACCGGUGAUGACUAUGGAGAUGCAGCAACAAAUGUAGAAGACGCAGCCGUUUACACCGAAAUUUGGAGUGGUUCGGAGUUAGUAGAACCUUUUUAAAAAUGUAAUUAUAUAUGUAUGUAAAUAUAUAUAAUAUAUUGAAUUACAAAACAAA